UACGUAGGGAGCAAGCGUUGUCCGGAAUCAUUGGGCGUAAAGCGCGCGUAGGUGGCCAUGUAAGUCCGCUGUGAAAGUCGAAGGCUUAACCUUCGAAAGCCGGUGGAUACUGCAUGGCUAGAGUACGGAAGAGGCGAGUGGAAUUCCUGGUGUAGCGGUGGAAUGCGCAGAUAUCAGGAGGAACACCAAUAGCGAAGGCAGCUCGCUGGGACGUUACUGACACUGAGGCGCGAAAGCGUGGGGAGCGAACAGG
rnacentral:rRNA from 1 species